AGUUUUCUAAACUCCCAACCCAUGUGAACUUACCUUUUGUUGCCUCGGCAGAAGUCAUAGGUCUUCUUAUAGCUGCUGCCGGUGGACCAUUAAACUCUUGUUAUUUUAUGUAAUCUGAGCGUCUUAUUUUAAUAAGUCAAAACUUUCAACAACGGAUCUCUUGGUUCUGGCAUCGAUGAAGAACGCAGCGAAAUGCGAUAAGUAAUGUGAAUUGCAGAAUUCAGUGAAUCAUCGAAUCUUUGAACGCACAUUGCGCCCAUUAGUAUUCUAGUGGGCAUGCCUGUUCGAGCGUCAUUUCAACCCUUAAGCCUAGCUUAGUGUUGGGAAUCUACUUCUCUUAGGAGUUGUAGUUCCUGAAAUACAACGGCGGAUUUGUAGUAUCCUCUGAGCGUAGUAAUUUUUUUCUCGCUUUUGUUAGGUGCUAUAACUCCCAGCCGCUAAACCCCCAAUUUUUUGUGGUUGACCUCGGAUCAGGUAGGAAUACCCGCUGAACUUAAGCAUAUCAAUAAGCGGAGGAAAAGAAACCAACAGGGAUUGCCUUAGUAACGGCGAGUGAAGCGGCAACAGCUCAAAUUUGAAAUCUGGCCCUUGGGUCCGAAUUGUAAUUUGUAGAGGAUGAUUUUGGUGCGGUAUCUUCCGAGUUCCUUGGAACAGGACGCCUUAGAGGGUGAGAGCCCCGUACGGUUGAAUGCCUAGCCUCUGUAAAUCUCCUUCGACGAGUCGAGUAGUUUGGGAAUGCUGCUCUAAAUGGGAGGUAAAUUUCUUCUAAAGCUAAAUAUUGGCCAGAGACCGAUAGCGCACAAGUAGAGUGAUCGAAAGAUGAAAAGCACUUUGAAAAGAGGGUUAAAUAGCACGUGAAAUUGUUGAAAGGGAAGGAUUUGUGACCAGACUUUUUCUGGGCGGAUCAUCCGGGGUUCUCUCCGGUGCACUUCGCCCAGUAAAGGCCAGCAUCGGUUUUCGGCGUGGGAUAAAAGCAGUAGGAAUGUGGCUCUCUACGGGGAGUGUUAUAGCCUAUUGUAUAAUACCGCGCUGGGGACCGAGGUCGCGC
rnacentral:rRNA from 1 species